GAUUAACGCUAGCGGCAGGCAUAAUACAUGCAAGUUGAACGAGAUAAGUUUUAGCAAUAGAACUUUGAAAGUGGCGCACGGGUGCGUAACACGUAUGCAACCUACCUUUUACAGGGGAAUAGCCUCUCGAAAGAGAGAUUAAUACCCCAUAAUAUAUUGAUAAGGCAUCUUAUUAAUAUUAAAGUUACGGCGGUAAAAGAUUGGCAUGCGGCGGAUUAGGUAGUUGGUGAGGUAAUGGCUCACCAAGCCGACGAUCAGUAGGGGGUCUGAGAGGAUGUCCCCCCACACUGGUACUGAGACACGGACCAGACUCCUACGGGAGGCAGCAGUAGGGAAUAUUGGACAAUGGGCGCAAGCCUGGUCCAGCCAUGCCGCGUGCAGGAUGAAGGCCCUAUGGGUCGUAAACUGCUUUUGUACGGGAAGAAACCUCACUACGUGUAGUGAGUUGACGGUACCGUGAGAAUAAGGAUCGGCUAACUUCGUGCCAGCCGCCGCGGUAAUAC
rnacentral:rRNA from 1 species